CGCCUUUUCCCUCUUCAUGUCUCUCAUGCUGAUGGCUGCCUCCUACAGCUUUCACCUAACGGCUCGUGUGCGCUCGAUCACUGUCACUGCGGCGAACAGCGCACCGAUUCCUGAUUACCCAACCACUCACUCACUCACUGACCCACAUCUGAUUACACACUCACUCACUGACCGACAUCUGAUUACACACUCACUCACUGACCGACAUCUGAUUACACACUCACUCACUGACCCACAUCUGAUUACACACUCACUGACCAACGUAAUUGACUCCUGUUUAUCCGCUUACUCACUGACUGACUCCAACUCAACUACUCACCCACCUCUGUUUACCCAUUGAUUCACAGACUUACUCCAGAGAGGGGUUUGUGAAACCUUUUAGUUGAUAAAUGACUAGUUGCAUUGUGUGCUUAGCAGUGCAUGGAAUUGAAACCUGUAAAGAUAGGUCAAAACUUUAUGGAUCCUGGACUAUCACACCUAUAGGAGCUUAGAGGAUGUUAAUUUACAAAACCAUGGCUUUUAAAGGACCACUAUAGGCACCCUGACCACUUCAGCUCAAUGAAGUGGUCUAGGUGCCAGGUCCAUCCACAGGCAUAGGCAACCUUCAGCACUCCAGAUGUUUUGGACUACACUUACCAUGAUACUUUGCUUGCAUUUUGGGUGUGAGAGCAUUAUGGGGGAUGUAGUCCACAACAUCUGGAGUGCUGCAGGUUGCCUAUCCCUAGGAUUAACCCUUUCUGCUGUAAACUGAAACUGCUAUGUUUCUAAAUGGGUUAACCAGCCUCUAGUGGCUGUCUUAUUGACAGCUGCUAGAGGCACUUCCGCGCUUCUCACUGUGAUUUUUCACAGUGGGAAGAUGCCAGCGUCCGUAGGAAAAGUUGCUCCACACUUCUUCACUUAUCUUGAUAUGUGCACAGGGGCACAAUCAUGGAGGAACUAGAAAGGUCUCAAUUUUAUGCAUCUUUUAGAAAUCUAACUGAAUACAAAUUAGUGAGGCGAAAAUAGUCUGGGUUAUGUUAGAAUUUAAUAAUUGCACAGUAACACGUAUAGGUGUGAUUGUAUAGGCCCCCUGGACAAAUAGAAGCAUUAGAUAAUAUGCAUUGAAGGGGUAAAUUAUAUCAUAAGUGACUUUCAUCUUCUGCUGUGUACUGGAAGACCAAAAUAGCUGCUUGUGCGAGAAGUACACAUUUUGUAAAUACAACUCACAAGGAGGUCAUACUAGAUUUAGUGUUAACAAAUGGAGAUUUGGUAUCAGAUAUUACUGUAGGUGAAAGUUUAGGAUCUAGUGAUCAUCAGUCAGUGUGCUUUAAUCUGAAAGCUGACUAAGUCAUACAACACAAAAACAAGUUUUAGCUUUUUGAAAACAAGAUUUUUCUAAAUCUAGAAUAUGCAUAAAGGUGUCAUCAGACUGGAGCAGUUUUUAACCCCUACCCAACUUCUGACGUACCAGGUACAUCUGGCAAAAAAAACAGUUGUUACAAACCUCGGAUAUACCUGGGAAGUCCGCGCCACAUUAUUCACUUACCUGAUCGUGAUGUGGGGACUUGCCUGGCAUCCCAGGCAGUCCCCCUGCGGCUGAUCCGGCCCCCCUUGCCCAUGUGAUCGCUGGGGUCAAAAUACAUUUAGAAUGACGUUAUAAAUACAUAUAUCCCCUUAAUGAGAAAAAAACGGUCAUUAAGGACUGCGGACAAAAUAGGAGCCCUGGACCAGCGACCCUGGUCAAAGGGAACUGCCAGAGACCCUGGCUGUCCCCUUGCAGCAGCUUUGGCCACCCCAGCCCUUUAGGGCCAUGUGAUUACCCGCAAUAGGAGUCUAUGGAGCUCCCAGCAGGGGAACUGUCAGGCAAUCCCCC